rnacentral:rRNA from 1 species
UUCUUCUKGGGSUUKAUUWGAAGUAGGCCCUGCCCGGUGUUCUGAGGAAUAAACGGCGGCGUUAGCGUGAUCGUCCUAAGGUAGCGCGAUAAUUUGCCCUUUAAUAGAGGGAUGGUAUGAAUGGGUUAACGUGGGGUUAGCUGUGUCGUACAGGUUUGUUUAAAUUAAUCUCAACGUGAAGAAGCGUUGAUAAUGUAGAAGGACGACAAGACCCUAUGAAGCUUGACUUAAACAGUAGUAAGUUAUCUUUAUGCAAAAGUUUUGAUGGGGCAUCAGCCUUAGUAGGUGUAAGGUAUCUAUAGUAUUUCUUACGGGAGUAUUCUGAAUAUUUCAGAGUUGAUUAGCUACUCUAGGGAUAACAGCACAAUUUCUCUUUAUAGAAGCUAUUGAUAGGGAAGUUUGUGACCUCGAUGUUGGCUUUGGAUUACCUAAAGGUGGAGAGACUUUUACGGCGGGUCUGUUCGACCUUUAAUUUCCA